UACGAAGGGGGCUAGCGUUGUUCGGAAUUACUGGGCGUAAAGCGUGCGCAGGCGGUGAUGUAAGACAGGCGUGAAAUCCCCGGGCUUAACCUGGGAACUGCAUUUGUGACUGCAUCGCUGGAGUGCGGCAGAGGGGGAUGGAAUUCCGCGUGUAGCAGUGAAAUGCGUAGAUAUGCGGAGGAACACCGAUGGCGAAGGCAAUCCCCUGGGCCUGCACUGACGCUCAUGCACGAAAGCGUGGGGAGCAAACAGG
rnacentral:rRNA from 1 species